rnacentral:rRNA from 1 species
CACGUAGGGUGCGAGCGUUGUCCGGAAUUAUUGGGCGUAAAGAGCUCGUAGGCGGUGUGUCGCGUCGGCCGUGAAAACCUGCAGCUUAACUGUGGGCGUGCGGUCGAUACGGGCAUCACUGGAGUUCGGCAGGGGAGACUGGAAUUCCUGGUGUAGCGGUGAAAUGCGCAGAUAUCAGGAGGAACACCGGUGGCGAAGGCGGGUCUCUGGGCCGAUACUGACGCUGAGACGCGAAAGCGUGGGUAGCAAACAGG